rnacentral:rRNA from 1 species
CCAAAUGGGGGAUGCCUUAGAUAACGGCGAGUGAGCGGCAAAAGCUCAAAUUUGAAAUCUGGUACCUUUGGUGCCCGAGUUGUAAUUUGGAGAGUACCACUUUGGGACUGUACUUUGCCUAUGUUCCUUGGAACAGGACGUCAUGGAGGGUGAGAAUCCCGUGUGGCGAGGGUGUCAGUUCUUUGUAAAGGGUGCUCGAAGAGUCGAGUUGUUUGGGAAUGCAGCUCUAAGUGGGUGGUAAAUUCCAUCUAAAGCUAAAUACAGGCGAGAGACCGAUAGCGAACAAGUACAGUGAUGGAAAGAUGAAAAGAACUUUGAAAAGAGAGUGAAAAAGUACGUGAAAUUGUUGAAAGGGAAGGGCAUUUGAUCAGACAUGGUGUUUUGCGCCCCUUGCCUCUCGUGGGCUUGGGACUCUCGCAGCUCACUGGGCCAGCAUCGGUUUUGGCGGCCGGAAAAAACCUAGGGAAUGUGGCUCUGCGCCUCGGUGUAGAGUGUUAUAGCCCUGGGGAAUACGGCCAGCCGGGACCGAGGACUGCGAUACUUGUUAUCUAGGAUGCUGGCAUAAUGGUUAUAUGCCGCCCGUCUUGAACCACGGACCCA